CACAGCAGACUGUACUAAAGAGUCUGUCUCCCUCUAUCUCAGAGAGCCCUUGAGUUACUGGGAGACCACUCUCAGGUCACCUUGUAUUUGGCUUUGCUGAACCUCAUGAGGUUCUCCUGCGCAAGCCUCUCUAGGUCCCUCAGGAUGGCAUCCUGUCAAUCGUACUAUGCAGCUCGGUGUCAUCCACAAACUUGCUGAGGAUGCACUCAAUCCAACUGAUGAAAGCAUUUAAGUAUUGGUCCCAGCAGUGACUCCAGAGGGGCACCACUUGUCACUGAUCUCCUGGAAUUUGAGCCAUUGGCCAACAUAAUCUGGAUAUGAACUUAAAAUCAGUUCCUCAUCCAUCAAAGAUUCCACCUGUCAAAUCCAUAUUUUUCCAGUUUAGAGAGAAGAAUGUCAAAAGCCUGACUAUGAUCCAGGUAAAUGACAUCAGUGAUUCUUAGACAUCCGUUGACACCACCAUAGAAGGCUGACAUGCCCUUGGUGAAGUCACGCUGGUUAGGACAGCCCAACUCUUCUCUCAGAAACUUCUCUUCCUUACACGUUCCUCGGCACUUGGAGGUUCCAUGAUCUUCUGCAUCACAAUGGUGAAGCUGGCAGGUCAGCAGCUCCCUGUGUCAUCCAUUCUGUGCUUCAUAAAAACAGCCGUGACAUUGCAGGAAAGCACCAGCACUGCACAGACUCCUGCUGUUUCUGGGUGCCACACACUUCCCUAAGGCACCAGAAGCUCCAGCUGCCCCACUGGCCCCAGGCAGAGCACAGUUGAGGAACCUGCCUGCUGGAGCAGGCAAAGCACGUGCUGGUGGCAGCCACUUCAGCAUGUCAAUGAUGCUGGAGCACCUGGACCUGCAGUGCAAAGCCCUCCUGAUGCCCUCUGGUGGGGACUCAGGUGCUCUGAGACUCGGCUGUGUGGCUGUGUAGAGGUCCUCCCCAUGGGAACAGUGCAGCUGAACCCUGUUCAGCACCGUGUCAUCCUUCCUCAGACCCGUGGGCAGCUCCACCCAUGAGGAAGAGAGCUGGGUGGGGAUCCCAGGCUGGCUGCCAGGCAGAAGGCUGAACCUUGAAGCUGAUGCUGCUGGUGUUGGUGCCCCAGUGCCCCACGCCGUCCUGCUGGACUCCUACACCUGCCUAUGUGGUGAGAAUAGCAGGCCCAUGCAUAGCUGGGAUUAGCCAUAGGUGAGAGGUAAAUUCCGGUGCCGAGGGCUCGGCUUGGGGCUGCUCGAGCACCGCGGGGCCUGGCACCGUCCUGCCUGGCUCCAGGCCAUGCUGUGUGCAAUGAGAGCCGCGUUCUGCCGUUUGCUCUUUCUUAAACCUCUGUAGAGCCUAUGCCUCUUCUGCAGGAGCUGAGUAAGGCUGGGCUCAGUGACACAAAUGUCACCGAGCUGCGGUGACGCGACUGGAUUCACUCUCCAGUCUUCCCAGCUGCGACGGCAAAAGUAACGAUGAGGGUGGGAUUCGAACCCACGCGUGCAGAGCACAAUGGAUUAGCAGUCCAUCGCCUUAACCACUCGGCCACCUCAUCCUGCCCCGCGCCGCC
rnacentral:tRNA from 1 species